GACGAACGCUGGCGGCGUGCUUAACACAUGCAAGUCGAGCGGUAAGGCCCUUCGGGGUACACGAGCGGCGAACGGGUGAGUAACACGUGGGUGACCUGCCCUCAGCUCUGGGAUAAGGCCCGGGAAACUCGGGUCUAAUACCGGAUAUGACUUCAUGACGCAUGUUGUGGAGUGGAAAGCCUUGUGCGGCUGAGGAUGGGCCCGCGGCCUAUCAGCUUGUUGGUGGGGUGAUGGCCUACCAAGGCGACGACGGGUAGCCGG
rnacentral:rRNA from 1 species